UACAGAGGUCUCAAGCGUUGUUCGGAUUCAUUGGGCGUAAAGGGUGCGUAGGUGGCGCCGUAAGUCAGUGGUGAAAUUUCGGAGCUUAACUCCGAAACUGCAUUUGAUACUGCGGUGCUUGAGGACUGGAGAGGAGACUGGAAUUCACGGUGUAGCAGUGAAAUGCGUAGAUAUCGUGAGGAAGACCAGUGGCGAAGGCGGGUCUCUGGACAGUUCCUGACACUGAGGCACGAAGGCCAGGGGAGCAAACGGG
rnacentral:rRNA from 1 species